AUAAGAAGUAAAAUAGGUUUAACUUAAAAAGAAUUUGAAUGCCAUAAUUAAGCGAUUUAAAUAAGCUGAGCAUAUAUGAGAGUAUUCUAAAUUAUAUAUUUAUGGCAAUCUUGAUUAAAAGGCUUUAAAACAAAUCAGCACCGAAACCUACAAGACGAUCGGAAAAUGAAGUUUCCACUAAACUAGGUCGAUCUGGGGCACCAUGUAUGGGAGCAUCUUUGAGCUUUUCAGUUACAUCGCUUAGUGAAACAUUUAAGUAUAUCUCCAUAAACUGUCCAAUU